GACUGUUACUGCCACCCUGGACUGUAAUGGAGGUUCAGGACUGUUACUGCCACCGUGGACUGUAAGCUAGGUUCAGGACUGUUACUGCCACCGUGGACUGUAGAACUAGGUUCAGGACUGUUACUGCCACCGUGGACUGUAGAACUAGGUUCAGGACUGUUACUGCCACCGUGGACUGUAAGCUAGGUUCAGGACUGUUACUGCCACCGUGGACUGUAAGCUAGGUUCAGGACUGUUACUGCCACCGUGGACUGUAAGCUAGGUUCAGGACUGUUACUGCCACCGUGGACUGUAAGCUAGGUUCAGGACUGUUACUGCCACCGUGGACUGUAAGCUAGGUUCAGGACUGUUACUGCCACCGUGGACUGUAAGCUAGGUUCAGGACUGUUACUGCCACCGUGGACUGUAAACUAGGUUCAGGACUGUUACUGCCACCGUGGACUGUAAACGAGGUUCAGGACUGUUACUGCCACCGUGGACUGUAAGCUAGGUUCAGGACUGUUACUGCCACCGUGGACUGUAAGCUAGGUUCAGGACUGUUACUGCCACCGUGGACUGUAAGCUAGGUUCAGGACUGUUACUGCCACCGUGGACUGUAAACUAGGUUCAGGACUGUUACUGCCACCGUGGACUGUAAACGAGGUUCAGGACUGUUACUGCCACCGUGGACUGUAAGCUAGGUUCAGGACUGUUACUGCCACCGUGGACUGUAAGCUAGGUUCAGGACUGUUACUGCCACCGUGGACUGUAAGCUAGGUUCAGGACUGUUACUGCCACCGUGGACUGUAAGCUAGGUUCAGGACUGUUACUGCCACCGUGGACUGUAAUGGAGGUUCAGGACUGUUACUGCCACCGUGGACUGUAAGCUAGGUUCAGGACUGUUACUGCCACCGUGGACUGUAAUGGAGGUUCAGGACUGUUACUGCCACCGUGGACUGUAAGCUAGGUUCAGGACUGUUACUGCCACCGUGGACUGUAAGCUAGGUUCAGGACUGUUACUGCCACCGUGGACUGUAAGCUAGGUUCAGGACUGUUACUGCCACCGUGGACUGUAAGCUAGGUUCAGGACUGUUACUGCCACCGUGGACUGUAAUGGAGGUUCAGGACUGUUACUGCCACCGUGGACUGUAAUGGAGGUUUUGUAAGGCCGUUAGAUUAGGAAGGGCGUGGUGGUCUGGCAGGAGACAAGGGAAACACAUUAAAGAACACAACAAAGCUGCAGACAUGACAAAGUAGUUGCAGCUAAUUAACAGGAAUAUGGGUUUAACGGUGGCUGGGGUGGGGGUUUGCCACUAGGCGGCUGAGGUGGGGCUUUGCCACGAGGCGGCUGAGGUGGGGCUUUGCCACGAGGCGGCUGAGGUGGGGCUUUGCCACGAGGCGGCUGAGGUGGGGCUUUGCCACGAGGCGGCUGAGGUGGGGCUUUGCCACGAGGCGGCUGAGGUGGGGCUUUGCCACGAGGCGGCUGAGGUGGGGCUUUGCCACGAGGCGGCUGAGGUGGGGCUUUGCCACGAGGCGGCUGAGGUGGGGCUUUGCCACGAGGCGGCUGAGGUGGGGCUUUGCCACGAGGCGGCUGAGGUGGGGCUUUGCCACGAGGCGGCUGAGGUGGGGCUUUGCCACGAGGCGGCUGAGGUGGGGCUUUGCCACGAGGCGGCUGAGGUGGGGCUUUGCCACGAGGCGGCUGAGGUGGGGCUUUGCCACGAGGCGGCUGAGGUGGGGCUUUGCCACGAGGCGGCUGAGGUGGGGCUUUGCCACGAGGCGGCUGAGGUGGGGCUUUGCCACGAGGCGGCUGAGGUGGGGCUUUGCCACGAGGCGGCUGAGGUGGGGCUUUGCCACGAGGCGGCUGAGGUGGGGGUUUGCCACUAGGCGGCUGAG